UGGGCUUGACAUGGCCGGAAUUCUGCGAAGAUGCGAGAGUGCCCUUCGGGGAAUCGGAACAC
rnacentral:rRNA from 1 species